AGGAAAAUAAAAAGGCUAAGACAGUCUGUCUUAACCAGACUAGAGUGUAAAACCAGACUUCUCUGAAGGAACAAAGUACAGUGUAACAAUUCCAAAGGCCCAAUACUUCCAUGAAGUUACGAUAGUAUUACUUCUGGUAGAUGGAAUAUGUCAGACAAGCACUGGUACUGUAUAAGUUGGUGUAACUCCUAUGAUAUUUUAUUGCGUGAGAAAAGUCAGAGCCACAUCAACCAUUAGCAACUACACACGUCCUAUACUCUAACCACUGACAGCCACACUGAAUAAUGAAGGUGUUAAUGAACUGUUUCAUGGCUAUUUUGAAAACAUGUAGUCGUAAAUGGGCAAUAGAAAGAAGUCCCCAUCAUCUCGGGGACUAACUCAACUGCAAAAAUAGCAUUGCCUCUGGGUUACGCUCACAACCACAUCUCAUGCAUGCUGCAGUACAACUCUUCCCCUGUGGAAAGCAAUGACAGCUCAUCAAAGGUGCUACUUCUAUUGUCGUACCAGAUAUUUAGACUCGGGCCAGAAAUUGAGUCCAAAUAUCUUAUGUACAACGUAACAAAAAUACGUCAUUAUAAGUGCUGAAGUCAAAAACGUAUCCCAAAAAGAAGACGCAAAAGUCCGGCAGAGUUCAGUGCAAAAUUCCUUUAAUGACUACAUCAAACACCAACACCAACAUUUAUACCCCUCCUUAGAUGCUGACACAACAUUUGGCAACUUCGAUCCCACAGAUGGCGUUAUGAAAGGAUUGUUGAUCGGUCUUAUCUUUGCAAGUCAGCACUAUUGCUGCCAAGGAGCCCGCCUCCGAUGACGUCUUUAUCUCUGCAGCUGCAAGGCCAAACGCAACCCUGCAUUGUGCAUACAGUAUACGUGAUGGCUGGUGGAAACAACAUGUGUUUAAGUUUCCCUAAAGUGGGACACUGCCUUGUGUGGAGAAUGUAAGCUAAUGUGUUGGCAGAAUAUAAUAUGUUAUACUACAUACAUGUCCAAUAUGCAGAAAAUGUUAAUCAUUAGGGCAAUUCACCCUCCUUCAAAUCACCAAAUUAGAAACAAUUAUGUCAAUGGAUGCAGAAGAUAUGUAGUGGGAAUGUAGUCUCAAAGGGGCAUUUCAAACCUGGUAUAGAAAAUUGUCAGGCAUUGACAAAUUCCUACAGUAAUUAACAUUUUUGGCUGCCAGUUAUAUUCUGUGUGAAGCCCUGUGCUCUAUUUUUUUGUACCUUUAGGCCUACAUGAGUAAAUACUGAGUGUGGGAGUGUUUGGAUUCCUAAAGUGAAAAAGUCUGUGAAAAGUGAACAUGAGCAGGAACUGUUCGAGCCUGUGAUGUCAUUUUUAAACUUCUGAUAAACAGAUUGAAAAGGAUGACCUGUGUGACACCCUACCCAUCCCCAAAUCCUCAAUAAUAGACUAAUCUAAAGCCCUGUUGAUGGAUAUACACAGCUGUGGUUUUCUUCAUUCUGUGGUUUCCCUUCUGUUGAGAGGCAGUUAUGAACAGGAAGGAAGCAGAGUCACAUUACAGACACACCAACAUGUUCAAUAUUAGUGUUUGACUGACUGACUGGAACAGCGGCAUAUUUUUAAUAUGGAGAGCUGAAGCAGACCUAAUGAUGACCUCACGUCAUACUCAAUGGAAUGGGUGUGUGAGUUGGUGGAAGCAAGGAGAAUGGAAAUAUUUGGGGAGUGCAUCACAACCCACUUCUGCUUUCUGUGGCUGUUAAAUACGGCAGUGUGUCCUCCACUUCACAUUCUUCGUCAGGCCACAAAGCAAUAACAAUGCAGUCUCCAAGGACAUUCAUCAGCAGCCUGGCCAUCAUGGCUAUCAUUGCUUCAGUUUUCUGGCAAAGAGCAGAUGCGCAACCAGAAAAGUAUCAGUCCUGCUGCACGAGAGUGUCUAAUGAAGAGGUGAUGGACCCAAUCAUUGGAUUCAAAGCACAGAGGCCAGACAAAUCAUGUGUCGCUGCAGUGAUUGUUAAGACGGACAAAAAUGAACAGUUUUGCUGCUCUCCUCACGCUAAAUGGUUGAAACCCAAGAUUAUGGAGUUCAUGAGGAAGCUGGACAGGGAGACACAGACUAAGCCCUCACUACUGUCUCGUAUCACAACGUCCAGCCAAAGGGCUUAAAGAACCAAGAUGCAACUCACCAGAUGACCAAUCUGGUCUACAGUAUUUUUAAAAUGUUUUUUUUUUUUUUCAGAUUUAUACAGAGCUGUUUUUAAUUUUUUGUUUUAAUUCAUACAGAGCUUUAUUUUAUUUAAGCGAUUUAUAUGGUCAAACAUUUAAUAUUGAAUUAUGUAUUUAUCUAAUUUAUUUAACACAAAAAGUAUGGUGUUCAAGACUUGAAUUUAUUAAACUGACCCAUAUGCUGUGGCUAGAUGAGGUAAUAUUAUGAUAAUGAAAAAUGUUGUGUGUCAAUAUCGCACUUUUUUAAAGAAGAAUGUAACUCUUUCAUUUAUUUCACAUUUGAAAUGCACUGUGCACUUGAGAAAUAAUUACACUUUCAUCCAUGAGAGAUGGUGGCUUUUAGCUCAGUUAUUUUAUUUUCUACACGGUGUACAAUGUAUCAUUGACUGUAGAAUGUUUGUCCUUGACCACAA